rnacentral:rRNA from 1 species
GAUGAACGCUGGCGGCGUGCCUAAUACAUGCAAGUCGAGCGAACAGACGAGGAGCUUGCUCCUCUGACGUUAGCGGCGGAAGGGUGAGUAACACGUGGAUAACCUACCUAUAAGACUGGGAUAACUUCGUGAAACCGGAGCUAAUACCGGAAAAUAUAUUGAACCGCAUGGUUCCAUAGUUAAAGACGGUUUUGCUGUCACUUAUAGAUGGAUCCGCGCCGCAUUAGCUAGUUGGUAAGGUAACGGCUUACCAAGGCAACGAUGCGUAGCCGACCUGAGAGGGUGAUCGGCCACACUGGAACUGAGACACGGUCCAGACUCCUACGGGAGGCAGCAGUAGGGAAUCUUCCGCAAUGGGCGAAAGCCUGACGGAGCAACGCCGCGUGAGUGAUGAAGGUCUUCGGAUCGUAAAACUCUGUUAUUAGGGAAGAACAAAUGUGUAAGUAACUAUGCACGUCUUGACGGUACCUAAUCAGAAAGCCACGGCUAACUACGUG